rnacentral:lncRNA from 1 species
UGUGUUGCAUCCUAGAUAACGCAGGCUGGUCAACAACAGAUUUUGAGAGUCUGGAACUUAGCAAUACAUGAAUAUAGAAGGCUUAAAUUGACUAAAUCAUGGAGCUUAGAUUGACGAUACCAGAGAGCUUACUUAGAGAGCUUAGACAAACUAUUAUUAGUAUAUAAAUAGAUGCUCACCACAACACACACUACAUGAACCACAUCACAUAGAGAGCUUACUUGCAUAGCUUAGAUAGAGAAGUAUGCACAAUAAACAUAUACAAUGGAGAGUACACCGAGAGCUUAGUUACGGAGCUUGGGUACAUAAAUAUACUCACAUGAAAAAUAUACAGUGGAGAGUACAAGUAGAGUUUGAUUACGGAACUUAGUUAUAUUCAAUGGUCCUCUACUAUGAAAUACUUACCUAUUCACAAUCAUCUUUUCCUCAAAUUCUGUAGCUAAAGAAAAUACGUAGAUGUGAUUUUCAACGACUAUUUUAUGUGAGUGUGGAUGUUUGAUAUUGUUAUUGAUAAUUAUUUAUAUCGUCAGUUUUUCUUACAUCAAUGUUUCUUACGUUUAAUUAAUUUUACAAAUUUAUGCACUCUUGGGGAUAUGAGUACUUUUCACAUUUUCAGCAUUUGUGUGUCAUGGAUAUGUUGAGAAACAACCGCGGUGUAUGAGGUGGCAUCAGGCAUGUAAGAAAUCGAGUGGGAGGUGCGUCUCACUUGGCAGACGAUUCAUGGUUACUUGGGUUAGUACAUCCCUUGUAACUAUCCGCGUCUAGGUACAUGAGACUAGAGGUUGGAGAGACCGCAACCAUAUCCAUAUCCCCGUUUAUAUAUAAGAUCGCACGAGUUUCUUAUGACGAUUCAAGAACUAUGUACCCCAUUUUAUAAUUAUUUAUAAUUACAAUCACCCGAUACUGGUGGAGAUGAUGAUCGAGAUUGAACGACUGUCACAUAGGCCACCUCCCGGAACAAGAUGUAACCAUUAAAUUUAUUGUCUUUGUUACCAAAAAUUUAGAAGAAUUAUUUAUUAAUUUGUACCAAUAUGCUAAAAAAAUUGAAGUUAAUAUUUGUGAAUGUGAAAAGGAAAUUAAUUUUGUUCAAAUGACAAAAAGUGGUUAGUCAAAAUAAUUUGAUCUCGAAACAUCCUUACAUGCUAAGAAACCUGUCUUGCUAACAAAGUCAUAACUCGUAAUAACUCGAACGGGUCCACCCAUUCAACUCGCUUGUGGUGGAGCAGGUGCAUAUAAACAUCGAUCUUCAUAAAUUCAUCUCUCACGAAAACAAAUCAGAAAAUCGGAGACUUUUAGCUCAGAGUUAUUUUUUCACCAUGUCGGUGCUCGAUUCAAUCUUCAAACAGCGCUUCAACGCUGCCAAAUGGUAAUCCUCUUUUUCCCUUCUCUUUUUCUCUAAUUGAUGAUCGAUUUUUAUUUGGAAAAAUCCUGUUUUAUUAUGAAUUUUAGGGUUUUAUGAUUGUAACCUUUGCUGAACUUCUUCCCAGUAGUUGUUUGAGAAAUUCAUGUUUGCUGAACUCCAAAUUUGAUCUUGAAUUCCUGAUCGUAUUCUGAUUUUCUCAAAUUGAUAAUUGUCAGCAAAAGUUUACCCAAAUCGGAUUUAAUCUGAUUUUGGUUUCUGUGAUUGUGUCCCCAAUUUUGUAAAUAAUUUAAAUAGUGCAGUGAUUUUUGAACUCUGAUUUACAGUAAAACUUUGCUAAAACUCACAAUCCCGCGGAUUAAGUUGCUGCGGAAUCGAAGAGAGAUGCAGCUAAGGCAGAUGCGUAGAGAAAUUGCCAAGCUACUUGAAACUGGUCAAGAAGCCACUGCUCGAAUUCGGGUAUUCUUUAUCAUUCAUAAUUCACUCUGUUCGUUUCGUUGUAGUAUUCAUAUCCGUCUGCUUAUUUUUAGGAAGCCGUUGAAGAGUUAUUAAAGGAUUUAAGUCCGUCUUUUUUGGUGGUCUAAUAGUAGAUUAUGAAGUAUCGUUUUUCGUUGUUCAGGUAGAGCAUAUCAUACGAGAAGAGAAGAUGAUGGCUGCACAAGAAAUAGUUGAGCUCUUUUGCGAACUCGUUGUUGUCCGCCUUCCGAUCAUUGAAAUACAAAGGUAUUCGUUUCAUGUCCUGCGUAUUGACUAACUAUAUAUACAGUGAUCAAGUAUUCUUAAUAAUGGGUUCUAGUGUUGAUUGAUGGUUUUUAGCAAUUUUCGGAUUUAAUUGGCAUUUUAUGUUGUCUAAUUAUCCCAAAAUGGGAAUGCAACCUGGAGCCGUCAAAAUAUGCUCAUGAUAUCUCAUAUCUCCUGAUGGUUUCUAUUUAGUGCUACUCUAGACUAAGGACUUGGAAUUGUCUUCUGUUUUUUUUUUCUUUUGAAAACGUAGAAUAGCUAACUUUACUCAUAGCAUUUUGCAAGUGAUUUUCUCUCUCUUUAGCUCACUCUCAAACACACACAUGCCCGUCUAGGUAGGUCAUAAAAUAAAAUGCACGAACACAAUGAAAAAACAAGACCUUGUGCAGUGUCGGACAUGAAAAGGCAUGAACACAUAUCAAAAACAUACUAUUGUCGAUGGCAUGUAAAAGAUGUUUCGAGCACAUUAGGUAUUUUUUUUUAAUUUUAUUGUUUUAAAGUCUAGGGUAUGGUAAUGAAAGUAGAAAAAUAGAAUUCCUAAAAAUAAAAGAAGUAGAUUAAAUGUCAUUACCUCAUCAAAAUCCAUUCUCUAUAUUUUAUUCCUUAAUUUUUCGGCAACACUGUUGUCCAUGUACCACACUAGUUCAAUUUCGACGUAUUGGCCGAAUGAUUAUUUUUUACUUGACAAUCUUUGCAGUGUACAUGCACACAUACAUACAUACUAUAUAUAUGUGUGUGUAUAUAUAUAUAUAGGAAAGCCGUGUCAGAGCCUUGUUGUGUCCUAAAACUUUUUAAGAAUUUCUAUCUUCCGUGCUUGCCCCGCCAUGUCGUGUCUGUCCAUCGUAGCCCAUGUAUGUUGUCCCUGCAUUCGGUGCUGUUGCAGAAUAUGGUAGCACUUGAGUGCUUCUGGUUAAAGUCACUCAUAUUUGUUUACUUUGUGAAAGUUGUAUACUGAAGAAAUUGAUGCACAUAAGGAGUUUAAAAAAAAAAUUUGUCUAAAGAAGUAUUACUUAGGUAAAUUAAGAUUAUCCAUUCGUUUAUCUCCAAAGUUAUGCUGCUGAUCAACAAAUAACGUGUCCCCCCAUUUUUCUGGGAAAGUGAAUUUGGUUGACAUAUCACACUAUCGAGGCAGGUAGGGAUUCUAUUAAGACAUAAUGACAAUGUUGAUCCCAAGGGUAGUCAAAAUCGAGAUUUUAAUUAGAAUUCUAAGGGGCUAUAAAAUUGUUACCCUAAAAUUGGAUCGUAAAAUUGUAGGAUUUUACAUAUCUUGUAAAUUUAAAUAGCAUUCCGAAAUUUUAUGUCUGAACAUAUAUAAAACAUAUUUUAACACAAUGUCUUAAGUCCUAACAUCAUUGCAGUAAAACGUAGAUUUGAAAUUUUUUUCAGGAUUUUACUUCCGAACUUGUAGGAUUUUGCUUGGGACGAGAGUCCACUAGGAUUUAACAGGGUAGAGGCUAAUAAAAUCGUAACAUCCUAGGAUUUUAGGAUUUUAAUCGGGACUUUAACUACAUUGGUUGAUACUCCAAAUGCAUCGAGUGUAAACCACAUUCGUAAUGGAUAGUUUAGGUAAUAGUAGUUAUAUGCAAACAAUUGGAUAAUAAAUUAUAAUGCACCAGUAAAUCAUCACAUGAAUCCGAAAGAAAUAAGUUAAACUUUCCUGUGGGAAGAGAAAUGGCUUUCAAUUAUAGAUUGUAGCAUUUAGUUUGGAUGUAAUAAGGAAUUUAUAUUUCAUCUUGAGUCCAUGUCGAAUGAUUAAUGUGUUAUGCUGUGGCAGGGUCAAAACUGUAUUUUUAAGAGGAUCGAAAUCCAAAUAUCUUCAGUUUUUAGUCUUAAGGUAUAAUAAUUAAAUAAUUAAUUAGGUUGUAAGGAUGAUAUAUAUAUAUGUAUGUGUGUGUGUGUGUGAUCUGUAUUUGUAUAUUUGUGGAGAACUAUGCUUGGAGAGUAUGGUACCUUUCCACGAGACCGUUAACUUCCCGAUUUUGUGUUCCUCAAACGUUGUUCGAUCAAUACAUGAUGAUCAUACGACAGUGCUUAAUUCCUUCUAGUUAUUUUUCUAUUACACGUGAUUGAGUUUUCUUUUCAUAGUGUGGGUAUAUUUUAACACAUCUCAAUUUGGAUGCAUGUUGAUUUUUUCCACAAAUACUAUGAGCAAGUUCACAUGCUUCAAGUAUCGAGUAUUCUCUCCACAUAUCCUAAAAAACUUGAUGUAGUUUGUUCUGUAGUUACGACUCAUAUUACGAACUAAUCCUUUCCUUGUUGUACAUAUUUUAGGGAAUGCCCUCUCGACUUAAAGGAGGCAAUUUCCAGUAUAUGCUUUGCGGCACCAAGGUGUGCCGAUCUGCCAGAGUUGAUACAGGCACAAAUGCUGUUUGCUGGUAAAUACAGUAAAGAAUUCGUCAUCGCUGCGACUGAGCUUAUGCCUGAAUCUGGUGUCAAUCGCCAGGUCAGAAUAGAUAGAGACCAUUUGUUUUCUUGCACACUUUGUAAACAGCCUUUUCGGUAAAAUUUGAUUUUUUUUUUUGGCAGUUGAUCGAGCUUUUAUCCAUUCGAGCCCCUGCACCUGAUGUAAAACUUAAGCUACUAAAGGAAAUUGCUUUAGAGCAUGAACUCGAGUGGGACCCGACUGCUACAGAAAGUGAAUUGUUGAAGCCACAUGAAGACUUACUCGUAAUAAAUUACAUUGCUUUCCGAAUCUUGAUUUUUUAUAUUUAUUAUUCUUCGAGGCUUAUACAUGUCUCGUUUCUGUUUUACAGAAUGGGCCAUCUCAAUUUGUUAGUGGUUCGAAUCUGGAUGAGCCGACAUUCUCUACAUCAGAACGUGGUGGCACUCAUGAUGAAAAAGACAACAACACUGCUGCUUCUGAUGCAGAUUACGACAUCAUCGAUUUCCAAGAAAUCCCGAAGCAGCCGUUAUUGCAACAGUCAACAACAAAUAGAGGCACUGCUUCAGCACCAGAAAUGAUGCAUUUUCCUUCUUCUGCUCUAUCCGAAAUUGACGAUGAAGAAGAAGAAGAAGAACAAGAACCGAAGAAUUUCUCACACUUGGAGCCUGAAGAUAACUUGCAGGAGAAGAAACCAUUUCAUAAAGAAGAAGAGAAGCAGUUUGUGCCAUUCAUAUCCAGCCCAUCACUUCAUCCAGUGAAAGAGCAAAACCGACACCCCGCAGUCUUAAAGACCAGAAACGAAGACAUGGAUUUACAAGAUGUACUGGCUGCUGCUCAAGCAGCUGCUGACUCAGCAGAACGGGCCGCAGCGAGCGCCAGGGCAGCAGCGAGCCUUACCCAGCUUCGAAUCAGCGAGCUUGUCAAGAAAAGGAACGACGAUUUCGAUAAACAGAACUCGGUUAGUGAUUGUGACGGUGCUUCGACUUCUCCGAAGCACAACGGUACGCAUUACGAUCCACCAUUGGCUGUCGAACCCUCUUGCCCAGGCAACAACAAUUUACUUGGUCAGGGUGUAGACAAUCACCAACCUCCGAGAUCGCCUCCGAUUGAUGAUGAGUCGUAUUUUUCGUACCCAAACUUAUUCACGUCUUCUCAAGGCUCGAAUCUGGAUAAUCAUGCACAAUCUCCUACAGAUUCCAAGUGAGCAAGUAAAUGUACUCUUUUCUUAAAGUUUGGUUAUCGCUGUACACCUCUCUGUAUUUGUGUGUUCUUUGGUUUUGAGGUGAAUUUGAUUGAGUUUUCGGCUUUUUUUUUCUUUUUUUUUUUUUUUUUUUUUUUUACUUUUUUUGUUUUUAAUUUUUUAAAUAUGCAGUAUUGUUGUUCUACCCUUUUAAAUGACCUUUGUGUAAAUUGAGUUAUGGGCCGCAUGAAGAUUUUAUCCUCUUAACACUUACCGUGUAAUUUGAGGUCUUUUUAGUUCUGAAAUGUUGUAUGUUUCAUGUGAAUUAAUAACAAUAAUACUUGUACCAUAGUGCAUCCAUAGUUAUGAUUUAUAAUUUAUAACAAUAAUGCAUUAUAGCAUAUUUUAUAAGAAAAACAAUUUCUUAGAAUGGAUUAGCAAUUAACUGUCAAUCAUAAUAAAAAGGGAAAAUCAGGUAGGUCUGGUGAAGAACACCGGGUAAUUUUGCACUAUAGAUCUAUAUACAAAUAACUACCAACUAAACAAAUAUACACUGAGUGGUGGAGCCAGGAAUUCGAGAUAGAGUAGACUUAAUAUUUACGGGGAUUUGGGGCUGAGCCCCCGAGAUUUUUUUUUUUGAUUCAUUCGUAUAAAGUAGCACAAAAUUUAUAAACUUCAACUAAGACCAAAUAUUUUUUUGGUGGAUGAGCUAAAUUAAAUUAUUUUGUUGGGCUAAUUACAUAUAAUUAUAGUAUUUAGAAGAAUUUUUUUUGAAUCCACAGUGGGCUGUAGCCCACCCUUGCCAAAGGGUGCCUCCGCCACUGCAUACAUAUGUCUGUGUGUGUGUUAUUGUGCGUAGAAUAAUGAUGCAGAAUCAUCUAGGGUGUAGCAUCUACAAAACGGAGAUAAGGAGGGUGCCGAUAUUUAUCAUCUUACAUUCACUUUGAUCUUUAUUAAUCUCAAUAUUUUUCACCCUCAAUAAACACUGGACAUUCAACCAAUUGUCUUCAAUGCUCCAAUUAUAUCCAAAUAAAGAACAUUUGUUAUCACAAGCACAUCUUGAUUUUUUACCAAUCAAAGAAAAGGAGACAAAUGGUCAUAGUUAAUUAAAUAAUUGGACAUUAUUGGAUAUUUGGUUAGUUCACUAACUUUUCGACUUUAACUCUAAGAAAAUUUUAAAAAAUAAUUUAAUCUUUACUAAUUAAAAGAUUACUUAUUGGACUUGUGUAUUUUCAAAUGAAAAGGUUGAACUUAUGAGAUUUUAAUCCUAACUAUGUAUUUAGUGAAGGGUUCUCUAAUUUUUCCUAAAUAAAAAUAUAUUUGUAUAAUGAGUUGCAAAAUGUCACAACAAAGAUUUUUGAUUUUUUGGUAGUAUAAAAGAUCACAACAAAGAUUUUUUGUGGUAUAAAAGAUCUUGAAUUCAUAUUAGGACAAAAUAAAAUGGAAAAACAAACAAAUACAUUAGUUCAUAAAAAGAUGUGAAAUAUAUAUAUAUGGAAAUAACUUCAACAUGGACUAAAGUACUAAAAUUAAUUUUGUUCCCAAUUUAACCCUUUUCUGCAUAUUUAUGAAGGAGUGGGUUUGGUAGGGCAACCAUAUCGAACCUCUUGAAUCACUACCAUUACUGAAAUUUUGGUAUUAUAAAUUCAUUACCACUGCCACACCAAAAAAUUCGGUACGGUACGGUACUGUAUGAUAAUGGUAAUUACCAAUUUACGUUAUCUACUAUUGGUGUCAAAAUUGAACAUCAUUUUUUCAAAACAAUUCAUGGCAUAUACUCGUUUAAAUUUUUCAAGAUUAGUAUUUUGUCUUGGCUGGAGAGUGGCACGAGUUCAAUGGACUCCUCAGCCAGAAGAGGGGGAAGGAAGCUUUGGCGGCAUUAAAGACAAUCUCUAUGGCUAAAAGACAACGGCUGGACUAAUAUCAUAUUCGAAGGUGAUUCCAUACAAGUUAUUAACGCUCUUUGCAAUUGACAAAUUGAGAAUAUACAUCACCAUCUUUUGACGCGCUCGUGUAAAAAUGCUUUAUUAUUGAGAAUUCCUUUGUUUGCCGCUCUCUUACUUCCGUUAAGAGAUCGGGCAAUCUGUUACCUCACUCUAUUGCAAAACUUCCUUGUUUUGUCUCUUUGGAGGGUUCUAACCUCCCGUUGGAUUUAGCGAAUGUUGCUAAGUAUAAUUCUCCUUUUUCCAAAAAAAGAAAAAAAAUUGUUAUUUAAGAUAUAAGUAUUCUAAAUACAUGUCCUUAACUUACCUAAUAUAAAAUACUUCUUAAAUAAAAUUAUAACAUAAAAAAUCUCCACAUAAACUAUAUCAUUAUUAAUAAAAUGAUUCAAAAUAUUUUUAGCAUACCUAAAAAGUACAACUAUUAAUAGUUACUUAACUACUGCUAUCUUCACUUUUUAUUUAUUAAUAAUAUUUUAAUACGGUAGGACAAUAUCAUUUUAAUAUUUUGAGUAGUGUUACGCUAUCAAAAUAUUUUGAUAUUGUACGUUAUGGUAAAAUAAUUAUUGGGUAGAAAUAUUUCAAUGAAAUGUGAUUAGAGUUGAAUAAAUUGGUAGGGCAUAAUGGUAAAAAGAAGCCAAUAUCAUUCAUUUUGGUCAAAAACAGCAGAAAUAAAUCCUCUAAUGUGAGACAGACACGUGUCAUUUUUUCUUAUCCCUCCCGAUAAGACAGCCAAUCCUUCUUCCCAACCCACAUAUAGUUUCUCCAAUCUGGACCGUCCAUCACUUCAAUUCCUUCAAUCCUAUCCGUUCAUCCCCACCCAAAACCCCCCUUCUUCUAUUUACCACAUCAUUUCAAACUCCACUCUCUCUCUCUCUCUCUCCUCUCCACCACUUACUUUCUCUCUCUAGAAUUCAGCAGCAAUGGCCGCCACCGCCCUCAACCAAACCCCAAUCACAUUCCAAUCCAGCACGCCGCUCUCCUCCCAACUCCACUCCAAGCCAGCCCCCUCCAAAAUCUCCCUCACCUCAACCCUAAAAUCCACCAAACUCACAAUCAAACCCCUCCUCCGCCGCCGCACCCGCGGCGCGUCCGGCGCCAGGAUGGCCGACAGCGCCGCGGCGAGCUACGCGAACGCCCUCGCCGACGUGGCGAAGUCGAACGACACGCUGGAGCAGACGACGGCCGACCUCGAGAAGCUGGAGAAGAUCUUCGCGCAGGAGCCGGUGAUGAAGUUCUUCACAAACCCUACCAUCAUCGUGGAGGAGAAGCGGAAGAUCGUCGACGAGAUCGUCGAGUCGGCGGCGCUGCAGCCGUACGUGGCGAACUUCCUGAACAUCCUGGUCGACAC